GCUCAGGAUGAACGCUGGCGGCGUGCUUAACACAUGCAAGUCGAACGGUGAAGCAGAGCUUGCUCUGUGGAUCAGUGGCGAACGGGUGAGUAACACGUGAGCAACCUGCCCCGGACUCUGGGAUAAGCGCUGGAAACGGCGUCUAAUACUGGAUACGAGACGCAACCGCAUGGUUAGUGUCUGGAAAGAUUUUUCGGUCUGGGAUGGGCUCGCGGCCUAUCAGCUUGUUGGUGAGGUAAUGGCUCACCAAGGCGUCGACGGGUAGCCGGCCUGAGAGGGUGACCGGCCACACUGGGACUGAGACACGGCCCAGACUCCUACGGGAGGCAGCAGUGGGGAAUAUUGCACAAUGGGCGGAAGCCUGAUGCAGCAACGCCGCGUGAGGGACGACGGCCUUCGGGUUGUAAACCUCUUUUAGCAGGGAAGAAGCGAAAGUGACGGUACCUGCAGAAAAAGCGCCGGCUAACUACGUGCCAGCAGCCGCGGUAAUACGUAGGGCGCAAGCGUUAUCCGGAAUUAUUGGGCGUAAAGAGCUCGUAGGCGGUCUGUCGCGUCUGCUGUGAAAACCCGAGGCUCAACCUCGGGCCUGCAGUGGGUACGGGCAGACUAGAGUGCGGUAGGGGAGAUUGGAAUUCCUGGUGUAGCGGUGGAAUGCGCAGAUAUCAGGAGGAACACCGAUGGCGAAGGCAGAUCUCUGGGCCGUAACUGACGCUGAGGAGCGAAAGGGUGGGGAGCAAACAGGCUUAGAUACCCUGGUAGUCCACCCCGUAAACGUUGGGAACUAGUUGUGGGGUCCUUUCCACGGAUUCCGUGACGCAGCUAACGCAUUAAGUUCCCCGCCUGGGGAGUACGGCCGCAAGGCUAAAACUCAAAGGAAUUGACGGGGACCCGCACAAGCGGCGGAGCAUGCGGAUUAAUUCGAUGCAACGCGAAGAACCUUACCAAGGCUUGACAUACACGAGAACGCUGCAGAAAUGUAGAACUCUUUGGACACUCGUGAACAGGUGGUGCAUGGUUGUCGUCAGCUCGUGUCGUGAGAUGUUGGGUUAAGUCCCGCAACGAGCGCAACCCUCGUUCUAUGUUGCCAGCACGUAAUGGUGGGAACUCAUGGGAUACUGCCGGGGUCAACUCGGAGGAAGGUGGGGAUGACGUCAAAUCAUCAUGCCCCUUAUGUCUUGGGCUUCACGCAUGCUACAAUGGCCGGUACAAAGGGCUGCAAUACCGCGAGGUGGAGCGAAUCCCAAAAAGCCGGUCCCAGUUCGGAUUGAGGUCUGCAACUCGACCUCAUGAAGUCGGAGUCGCUAGUAAUCGCA
rnacentral:rRNA from 1 species